AGUGUCCCCAGACCAAGCCUGUAAGGGGGAGUGGUUCAUUUAUGAAGUCCCUUCUUGCCUUCCCAGAACCUGUUCACCUGAGACAGCCACUCAGCUUCACAGACCUCCGCUCUCAGCCAGGGAUGUCUCCCAGGUGUUGUCAUGGCAAUGCUGGAGUCAGGAGUCGCUUGCCACAACUCUGCUUUGGCUCUAAAAGAUAUCUAAUACUUUAUUUGCUACUUUAUCACUUAUUGCAGACGUUUUUUCCACAUAAGUGAAUUUGAUUCUGAUGCGGGCUCAGUGAGCAGAAGAGUUGAAAGAAAGGUUUCUUGGACUCUCAAGGUCUGGUAGUAGUGCUGCUUUAUUCAGAGAAUAGCAUGGGGACAGGAGCCAUGGGCAGUGAAGAGCUGCGAUGGGUUGUGAGUUUAUAAGGCACAGGUAUGUGAUUGUUUCUCUAUAACACAAAGGAAAAACCCCUUAAAAACGUCUUUAAAAUCAUGUCAGUGUAGGUGGGGUCUGGUUAUUGG
rnacentral:lncRNA from 1 species